UACGUAGGGUCCGAGCGUUUGUCCGGAAUUAUUGGGCGUAAAGGGCUCGUAGGCGGUCCGUCGCGUCGGGAGUGAAAACUCGGAGCUUAACUCCGAGCCUGCUUGCGAUACGGGCAGACUAGAGGUAGGCAGGGGGAGAGCGGAACUCCUGGUGUAGCGGUGGAAUGCGCAGAUAUCAGGAAGAACACCGGUGGCGAAGGCGGCUCUCUGGGCCUUACCUGACGCUGAGGAGCGAAAGCGUGGGUAGCGAACAGG
rnacentral:rRNA from 1 species